CUAAGUGUGUCCACGACAUAUCUGGUUUUUAUUGAUUUCCGAAGCUAUUUAUUUUUACCUUGUAAAUGGCUGAAUGUCUCAUUUGGUAUUCUACAUUUAUAUGUAGCUCAGUGAUUGUAGCCAAUUACAUUGGCAAUAUACGCUAUGCUGACCUCAGUUCGAUGAACAUUUUUACUGAGAGCUGCAUUCUGCCCACAAUAGCUUUACCAGUAAUCUGGCCUUUUAAAAUUGUUUAUUUUUUAGUAUUGUAUGCAUCUUUGGGAUCUGAUGGCUCAAUGAUUUCAACCAGUCACUCUUGAUAUAUACGCUAUUCUGAUUGCUGCUGUUGAAAAAAAUAUCCAUGAGAGCACCAUUGUACCCUAUCAACAUGCUUUGUAGAUACCUUUUCUCUUGCGUUCUGGAGUUAUUUUUAAAUUUUAGAAGUUUUUUUACUAACUCCAUGUUCAUUCUUUUAUCUUAUUAUUAGCUUUUCAAGUGGUGGUGAAGAUGGAUAUGUAAGGCUGCAUCAUUUUGAUUCUGACUACUUUAGCAUCAAAAUGUAGAUAAAGAACAGACGAAUCAGAGGCUGUUUGAUUACCAACCGGUUCAGUUUCUUGGUUCAGACUUCAGAUGUUAGAUGUUGUUGGUUGGCCAUGGCGCAUGUAGAGCAGGCUCAGAUCCUAGGUUUCUGGUCUGCUUGUUUGAUGAUGUUGCUCUGGAUAAGCAGCUUUUUGGUCUGCUUGAGGAAUUUGUACACACUUGGCAAUGAAAAGAUCCUUGGAUUGAGUUGUCAUUCUCGCUCAUGUUUCCAGUUUUGUUUCGAUUUGUAGUGCUCACAUUUCAAAACCUGUGUUUUAACUCUACAUAUGAGGCUGCUGUAUUACUG